AGCUCCAAUAGCGUAUAUUAAAGUUGUUGCAGUUAAAAAGCUCGUAGUUGGAUUUCUGGUAGGACGUUGAUGCCGGCUCGACGCUGCGCAGAGAUAUCUUACCAUCCUUCUGUUAACUCGUUUUGGUCUUCUGUGACCGGACGAGGGCUCAGAUAUUUUACCUUGAGAAAAUUAGAGUGUUUCAGGCAGGCUAGCGUCGGAAUACAUUAGCAUGGAAUAAUGGAAUAGGACUUAUACCUCUUCUGUUGGUCUAGGGGGUGCAAGUAAUGAUUAAUAGGGAUAGUUGGGGGCAUUAGUACUUAACUGUCAGAGGUGAAAUUCUCGGAUUUGUUAAAGACUAACCUAUGCGAAAGCAUUUGCCAAGGAUGUUUUCAUCA
rnacentral:rRNA from 1 species